rnacentral:rRNA from 1 species
UACGUAGGGGGCUAGCGUUGUCCGGAAUCAUUGGGCGUAAAGCGCGUGUAGGCGGUCCGGUAAGUCCGCUGUGAAAGUCGGGGGCUCAACCCUCGAAUGCCGGUGGAUACUGUCGGGCUAGAGUGCGGAAGAGGCGAGUGGAAUUCCUGGUGUAGCGGUGAAAUGCGUAGAUAUUCGGAAGAACACCAGUGGCGAAGGCAGCAGAUUGGGCCGGUACUGACGCUCAGGCACGAAAGCAUGGGGAUCAAACAGG